rnacentral:rRNA from 1 species
CUUCGGAGAGUAUGCUUAAAGAAGGGCUUGCGCCACAUUAGUUAGUUGGUGAGGUAAAGGCUCACCAAGAUUAUGAUGUGUAGCUGGACUGAGAGGUUGAACAGCCACAUUGGGACUGAGACACGGCCCAAACUCCUACGGGAGGCAGCAGUAGGGAAUUUUCGGCAAUGGAGGAAACUCUGACCGAGCGACGCCGCGUGAACGAUGAAGUAUUUCGGUAUGUAAAGUUCUUUUAUUGAAGAAGAAAAAAUAAUGGAAAAAUUAUCUUGACGUUAUUCAAUGAAUAAGCCCCGGCUAACUAUGUGCCAGCAGCCGCGGUAAAACAUAGGGGGCGAACGUUAUCCGGAAUUAUUGGGCCUAAAGGGUGCCUAGGCGGUUAGAUAAGUCUAUAAUUUAAUUUCAGUGCUUAACGCUGUCUUGUUAUAGAAACUGUCUUGACUAGAGUGAGAUAGAGGCAAGCGGAAUUCCAUGUGUAGCGGUAAAAUGUGUAAAUAUAUGGAGGAACACCAGAAGCGUAGGCGGCUUGCUGGGUCUUUACUGACGCUGAGGCACGAAAGCGUGGGGAGCAAACAGGAUUAGAUACCCUGGUAGUCCACGCUGUAAACGAUGAGUACUAAGUGUCGGGGUAACUCGGUACUGAAGUUAACACAUUAAGUACUCCGCCUGAGUAGUACGUACGCAAGUAUGAAACUUAAAGGAAUUGACGGGACUCCGCACAAGCGGUGGAUCAUGUUGUUUAAUUCGAAGAUACACGAAAAACCUUACCAGGUCUUGACAUACUCUGCAAAGCUAUAGAAAUAUAGUGGAGGUUAUCAGGGAUACAGGUGGUGCAUGGUUGUCGUCAGUUCGUGUCGUGAGAUGUUAGGUUAAGUCCUAAAACGAACGCAACCCCUUUCGUUAGUUGCCAGCACGUAAUGGUGGGGACUUUAGCGAUACUGCCAAUUAAAAGUUGGAGGAAGGUGGGGAUAACGUCAAAUCAUCAUGCCCCUUAUGAUCUGGGCUACAAACGUGAUACAAUGGCCGUUACAAAGAGUAGCUGAAACGCGAGUUCUUAGCCAAUCUCAAAAAGACGGUCUCAGUCCGGAUUGAAGUCUGCAACUCGACUUCAUGAAGCUGGAAUCGCUAGUAAUCGCGAA